rnacentral:lncRNA from 10 species
CCUGGGUCUCCCCGGGGGCCUCUCGGAGAACUGGAGCGCACCCUCCAGCCCCGGCGAGUCCCCCGGACUGGCUGGGGGCCUUCCCUGGAACGCCGAGGGCUCCUCUGGAAGACCACUCUGUAUCCCCAGAACACACAGCACUCUGGGGCCUGGGCCGUCCGACGUCACAAAACUUCCUGUAGGACAUCUCGCCUAGAGUACCUCGUGCGCUCUCCCAGGCAGCGGCCCCAGGGACACGGGCGCGGGGUCCCUCAGGCCAGCCUCCCCGUGUGCCCAGCGGCAGGGUCCUUGGCGGGGAAUGUACAGAUUUCUCCAUGGGCUGCAGGAGCAGCUGGGCUCCGGGGGACAGUUGUUCGUGGCUUUGUGGGGAUGAAGACGGCGGAGUUGGGGACGGAUCCUAACAUGUCCUGACACCGCCUGUGCUCUUCGUCUUGUGCGUCUGAAAUGGGUUUCUGGAAUUUUCCUGAAGCAUUGCAUGCUGAUACAGAUUCUGAGCUGGUGCUUUGACUGUCACAAGCCAGAGGGUCCUAGAAGAAGUAGAAUCAUAACUGAGGAAAACUUAGGAAACCCCAUCCGUUCUGCCUUUCAAAGGUCUUCAGGGCAGCGCCACGUUUCACCACCUGAUUUUGGUGUUUCACAGUCUGAUGUGUUCAUAGCUUUUGACUAUUAAACUGAUUGAGCUC